ACAAGGUCUCCGUUGGUGAACCAGCGGAGGGAUCAUUACUGAGUUUACGCUCUACAACCCUUUGUGAACAUACCUACAACUGUUGCUUCGGCGGGUAGGGUCUCCGCGACCCUCCCGGCCUCCCGCCUCCGGGCGGGUCGGCGCCCGCCGGAGGAUAACCAAACUCUGAUUUAACGACGUUUCUUCUGAGUGGUACAAGCAAAUAAUCAAAACUUUUAACAACGGAUCUCUUGGUUCUGGCAUCGAUGAAGAACGCAGCGAAAUGCGAUAAGUAAUGUGAAUUGCAGAAUUCAGUGAAUCAUCGAAUCUUUGAACGCACAUUGCGCCCGCCAGCAUUCUGGCGGGCAUGCCUGUUCGAGCGUCAUUUCAACCCUCAAGCUCUGCUUGGUGUUGGGGCCCUACAGCCGAUGUAGGCCCUCAAAGGUAGUGGCGGACCCUCCCGGAGCCUCCUUUGCGUAGUAACUUUACGUCUCGCACUGGGAUCCGGAGGGACUCUUGCCGUAAAACCCCCCAAUUUUCCAAAGGUUGACCUCGGAUCAGGUAGGAAUACCCGCUGAACUUAAGCAUAUCA
rnacentral:rRNA from 1 species